UUACGGCCACAUCAGUAUGAAACACCGGUCCUGAUGCGACCACCAAUGUUAAGCAACGUCGAGUUUGGUCAGUAUCUAGAUGCGUGACCACUUGGAAAUAUCAGGUGGUGUAAG